rnacentral:rRNA from 1 species
ACGGGUGAGUAACGCGUAGGUAUCUAUCCAUGGGUGGGGGAUAACGUUGGGAAACUGACGCUAAUACCGCAUGAAACCCGAGGGUCAAAGGCGCGAGUCGCCUAUGGAGGAGCCUGCGUCCGAUUAGCUAGUUGGUGGGGUAAAGGCCUACCAAGGCUGCGAUCGGUAGCUGGUCUGAGAGGAUGAUCAGCCACACUGGGACUGAGACACGGCCCAGACUCCUACGGGAGGCAGCAGUGGGGAAUAUUGGACAAUGGGGGCAACCCUGAUCCAGCAAUGCCGCGUGGAUGAAGAAGGUCUUCGGAUUGUAAAGUCCUUUCGGCGGGGACGAUGAUGACGGUACCCGCAGAAGAAGCCCCGGCUAACUUCGUGCCAGCAGCCGCGGUAAUACGAAGGGGGCUAGCGUUGCUCGGAAUGACUGGGCGUAAAGGGCGCGUAGGCGGCUUAGACAGUCAGGCGUGAAAUUCCCGGGCUUAACCUGGGGGCUGCGCUUGAUACAUCUGGGCUUGAGUGGGGAAGAGGGUCGUGGAAUUCCCAGUGUAGAGGUGAAAUUCGUAGA